GAUGAACGCUGGCGGCGUGCCUAAUACAUGCAAGUCGAGCGAACGGACGAGAAGCUUGCUUCUCUGAUGUUAGCGGCGGACGGGUGAGUAACACGUGGAUAACCUACCUAUAAGACUGGGAUAACUUCGGGAAACCGGAGCUAAUACCGGAUAAUAUUUUGAACCGCAUGGUUCAAAAGUGAAAGACGGUCUUGCUGUCACUUAUAGAUGGAUCCGCGCUGCAUUAGCUAGUUGGUAAGGUAACGGCUUACCAAGGCAACGAUGCAUAGCCGACCUGAGAGGGUGAACGGCCACACUGGAACUGAGACACGGUCCAGACUCCUACGGGAGGCAGCAGUAGGGAAUCUUCCGCAAAGGGCGAAAGCCUGACGGAGCAACGGCGCGUGAGGGAUGAAGGUCUUCGGAUCGUAAAACUCUGUUAUUAGGGAAGAACAUAUGUGUAAGUAACUGGGCACAUCUUGACGGUACCUAAUCAGAAAGCCACGGCUAACUACGUG
rnacentral:rRNA from 1 species